rnacentral:rRNA from 1 species
AUUGAACGCUGGCUGCAGGCUUAACACAUGCAAGUCGAUCGAGCGGCGGACGGGUGAGUAAUGUCUGGGAAACUGCCUGAUGGAUGGGGAUAACUACUGGAAACGGUAGCUAAUACCGCAUACCAUCAGAUGUGCCCAGAUGGGAUUAGCUAGUAGGUGGGGUAAUGGCUCACCUAGGCGACGAUCCCUAGCUGGUCUGAGAGGAUGACCAGCCACACUGGAACUGAGACACGGUCCAGACUCCUACGGGAGGCAGCAGUGGGGAAUAUUGCACAAUGGGCGCAAGCCUGAUGCAGCCAUGCCGCGUGUGUGAAGAAGGCCUUCGGGUUGUAAAGGACUUUCAGCGAGGAGGCGUUACUCGCAGAAGAAGCACCGGCUAACUCCGUGCCAGCAGCCGCGGUAAUAC